UUGCCCUAGUAACGGCGAGUGAAGCGGCAACAGCUCAAAUUUGAAAUCUGGCUCUUUUAGAGUCCGAGUUGUAAUUUGCAGAGGGCGCUUUGGCGUUGGCAGCGGUCCAAGUUCUUUGGAACAGGACGUCACAGAGGGUGAGAAUCCCGUACGUGGUCGCUAGCCUUCGCCGUGUAAAGCCCCUUCGACGAGUCGAGUUGUUUGGGAAUGCAGCUCUAAAUGGGAGGUAAAUUUCUUCUAAAGCUAAAUACUGGCCAGAGACCGAUAGCGCACAAGUAGAGUGAUCGAAAGAUGAAAAGCACUUUGGAAAGAGAGUCAAAUAGCACGUGAAAUUGUUGAAAGGGAAGCGCUUGCAGCCAGACUUGCCUGUAGUUGCUUAUCCGGACUUUUGUCCGGUGCACUCUUCUGCGGGCAGGCCAGCAUCAGUUUAGGCGGUUGGAUAAAGGUCUCUAUCACGUACCUCCCUUCGGGGUUGGCCUUAUAGGGGAGACGACAUGCAACCAGCCUGAACUGAGGUCCGCGCAUCUGCUAGGAUGCUGGCGUAAUGGCUGUAAGCGGCCCGUCUUGAAACACGGACCAAGGAGUCUAACAUCUAUGCGAGUGUUUGGGUGUCAAGCCCAGACGCGUAAUGAAAGUGAACGGAGGUGGGAACCUUUUAGGUGCACCAUCGACCGAUCCUGAUGUCUUCGGAUGGAUUUGAGUAAGAGCAUGGCUGUUGGGACCCGAAAGAUGGUGAACUAUGCUUGAAUAGGGUGAAGCCAGAGGAAACUCUGGUGGAGGCUCGCAGCGGUUCUGACGUGCAAAUCGAUCGUCAAAUUUGGCAUAGGGCG
rnacentral:rRNA from 1 species